AUUGAACGCUGGCGGCAGGCCUAACACAUGCAAGUCGAGCGGAUGAAGGGAGCUUGCUCCUGGAUUCAGCGGCGGACGGGUGAGUAAUGCCUAGGAAUCUGCCUGGUAGCGGGUGCUAACGUCCGGACACGGGCGCUAAUACCGCAUACGUCCUGAGGGAGUACGUGGGGGAGCAUCGGACCUCACGCUCUCAGAUGAUCCUAGGACGGAUUAUCUGGUUGGCGGGGUAAAGGCCUACCGAGGCGACGAGGCGUAACUGGGCUGCGAGGAUGAUCAGGCAAACUUGAACUGAGACACGGUCCCAGCUCCUAAGGGGGGCAGGAGUUGGGAAUAUUGGACAAUGGGGGGAAGCCUGGACCAGGCAAGCCGGGGGUGUGAAGAAGGUCUUCGGAGUGGUAAACACUUUUUGUUGGGAGAAAAGGGAGUAAGUUAAAUCCUUGGCGUUUUGAAGGUACCAACAGAAUAAGCAACGGCUAACUUCGUG
rnacentral:rRNA from 1 species